AUGUCAACAACAUUAUUUUGAUGAUUUGAUUUCCUCAAAACAACUCAUCUUAACGAUUAAAUGAUGCAUGUGAUGAUAAUUUUAACAAGUAAAUUAGAGUUAAUUUUUAAGACACAUUUAACCAUUUAUUCAAAAAUUGUAAUCACCAAUUAAUAAUAUGUAAAUUAAGGACAUUUUUGUUCCCUACCAAACAGCCUUUUGAACCUAGUCAUUGUCACUUUUCCCUCACUUUUUAUUCCUUGUAUAUUCAAUAAUAGGUUAACUCUUCUGCCUCAUGUUAAUCUUCUUAUGCAUAAUUUUGACUGUUAAUAAGUUUCUUGUCACCUCGCCAUAAUCAAGUUCAACAUAACACUGAAAUGUUUUUCAACGAUUGACAAACAAUUAACAUAACGUUAGUUGAUUAGCAGAUGAUGAUUUGGAGGCAUACAAUUUGGACAACCAUUCCUACACAAUUACCUUGACGUUGAUUUUAACUCUGUCAACAUGGUUAAAGGUUUACUUUUACCCUGUUUAAUCCUCUUAAUUGUUUCAUUAGAAUCAACACUUUCUGUGCUGCAACUGAAUAACUCUUUGAGAUUAUCUUCUAUAAAUAAGCCAUCAUUUGUUGGAUCAAAUAAGCCGUAUAAGAUUGUUUGCUACUAUUAUGCGGUUGAAGCAUGGUACAGGACAAGUCGAGGAAUGUUCUUACCUGAAGAUAUUGAUGCCUCUAAGUGUACCCAUAUUCAUUAUGCUUACACAGUUUUAAAUAGUGAGACUUUGUUGAUGGAACCAAGUGAUAAAUGGGCUGAAAUUGACAAUCGAUUCUAUGAGCGAGUGAUUGCUUUGAAGGAAUCCAAUCAAGGACUGAAGAUACUUUUAUCCAUUGGAGGCUGGUCAGAACAGUCAGACAAAUUUUCGACUUUAAUAUCUGAACGGUUGAAUCGAAAAGCAUUUAUUGACCAUGCUGUAACUUUCUUGUUACUUCAUGGUUUCGAUGGACUCGAUUUGGCUUGGUUUUAUCCUGUUUGCUGGAAUGGGGAUUGUCGCUCUCAGAAUGUUCACUCUGAAGAUCGGGAAAAUUUUGGCCAUUUUGUAAGGGAAUUGAAGGAUGCCUUCGAUCAAUCCGAAUCACGUCUUCUGGUUACAGCAACAGUGUCUGGUGAUCCAAUGAUAGCAAAGCGUAGCUAUGAUUUUACUGCAUUAAGUCGCUUGGACUAUAUAAAUGUAAUGACAUUUGAUUAUGUCGCUCAUUGGAAUCAAAUGACUGGCCACCAAUCUCCACUAUUUAGCCAACCAGGAUUUCCAGUUGAUCUCAAUGCUAAUUCAAGUCUGCAUCUUUACAUGUCCAGAGGAAUUCCAAGUCGUAAAUUAGUUCUUGGUUUCCCCAGUUUUGCACGUAGCUUCACUCUAGUUGAUUCAAAUGACCAUGGAAUUGGUGCUGCUGUUAAAGGACCAGGAGACAAAGGAGAGUUUACUUUGGCUGAAGGGUUAUUAGCUUUUUAUGAGAUUUGUGAUCGAAUCCAGAAGAAAGGUUGGAAACUUGUUCGAAACUCGGAAAAUGAAUUGUUUUACACUUAUUACAACAACCAAUGGGCCUCAUUUGAUCAUCCAUUUUCAGCUGCUUUAAAAGCCCAGUUUGUUAAACAAUUGAAUCUUGGUGGCAUCAUGAUGUGGGACAUUGAUCGAGAUGAUUUUCAUGGAAACUGUUUUGGAAUUAAAUUUCCCUUACUCACAGCAAUCAAUUCAAUUCUGGUUCACGGUAAAUCUGUAAAAAUGGUUCCAGGACUAAUCUAAUGUAAAUUUCUCGGAAAAGGACGUUUUUCAAAAAAUACAAACCCAAGCAAUAUCAAUGACUUUUACCGAAGGAACAAAAAAAUUGGACUAUUCACACGCAAGGACAAUAACAAAGCAAAGAUUAAUUAUUUAUACAAAGAGCAAAAUUUAAUUCUUGGCAAAUGGUUAAACCACUCAAUUAGUUUAAUAUCAUCUCAUGAUGCUGCUGCUACUUACACUAAUGAUAAUGAGUAUGAUAUUGAACUAUUGAUAUUAAUGCCAGAAUGUUUAGGAAACGUUGUUGGCAAAAAAAGGAGAGGAAAAUAGAAGCAAAAAAUAGGAGAAAAGAUUAAAGACGUUGAGGAUUAAAUUAUUUUCACGCAAGAUUGGAUGAAACAUUUAGCUCAAGAUUCAUACUAAUGAUUGGUUGUGUUGAUGUAUUAACCCAACAGUAAAGUUGAGAAGGGAAGAAGUAAAAAAAGGCUGACAAUUUUGGUUUCCAUCAAAAUUAACAAUUCAAGCCACGAAAAGGUCGUUUCAACAAAAGCCAAGGUAUUUUCAGCAUGUUAUGGUUUCUUUUUCGUCCCUCAACGUUUCUCCCAUUUUUUGCUUGAUAUAAUUUUGUUUCAUUGAUUGUUAUCAUGAUAAUGAUGAGACCAAUCCCAGAAACGGAAUAAUGUUACCUCACCAAUUACUAUUGAUAACGACGAUCAAUCAAAAUAACAUUAAAAAAGAAGAAGAAAAGAGGUAAAAAAAUCAUUUUCGCUCUUUCAAUUUCAUUUUUAUUCCAUUGUCCUUUUGUCAAUGUAAUCUUAGACCAUGAUGAUGAUGAUGAUGAAGUAUCAUAUUGAAUGAUUCAGUUGUAAACUUCAAUAUGCUUUUUCAAUGGCAUUUUUUGGUCCAAGCUUCAAAUCAAAUUAUUGAUGAUAAAGGGAAUCGUAAUCACAUCAAUUUUAAAGAUAAAAUUCAAUAAAUCGAAUUAAAUUAAAUUCGAUUUCAUUUUCAGUUUGAUUUUUUGUUCAUCUUCAAAUACACUGAGAAAAAGAAGGUAAAAUUUCUGGUCUUUUCUUUGCUAAAGCUAUUAUUUUCUGAUGAAACGAGCAAACAACCAGAUUAAUCUAAUCAUGAUAAUCAAUUGAACUUUUCAAUGUGAAUAGCUAAUAUUUUGUUAACCUUUUCCUGUCAGUUUUAAAGUUGAAACCUCAAUCACUUUUAAGGCGAGAUUCUGUUGGUAAACAUUUCAUUGAACACUUAAUUUUACCUCUUUGAUUGGUUAUUGAAGAUGAAAAUGAAUAAAAAUAUUUAUUAUUCUCAAAGGUAAUUCCCAUCUUUUUGUAUCCUACUUAUCAUGAUGAGCCUUUUACCUUCAACUGUUCAAAGUGUGCUAAUAGAUUUCAUGGGAUCAAUUGGUCAAUUCAAUUGGAAUUGUUGAGUAAAGGAGAAAACCAAAUGUCCAAAAUGAUAACUCAAAUGAUAAGGAAAAAGUCAAUCAAGUAAUCUUCAUUAUAAUGGAUAAAAUCAGCCAAAUUCAGAUGAUUCAAUCAUUUCGUUUCAUGAAACAAAAAGCUUGAAUAUCU